AAUNAUAUNAAAGUAGCGUAGUAAUUUGUCAUUUAAUUAAUGAAUAUAAUGAAGAUUUUAUGAAUUAAAUACUGUCUCUAAAAUAUAAAACNAAAUUAAUAGUUUAGUGAAAAAACUUGAUUAAUUUUAAAGGACGAGAAGACCCUAUAGAACUUAUUUUAAAUUUGAAAUUUACUGGGGAAGUAAAGAUAAAACCAAAAUUAUUUUUAAAUAUAAAAACNUAAAGNUUUUAUAA
rnacentral:rRNA from 1 species